UACGAAGGGGACUAGCGUUGUUCGGAAUCACUGGGCGUAAAGCGCACGUAGGCGGAUAUGUCAGUCAGGGGUGAAAUCCCGGGGCUCAACCUCGGAACUGCCUUCGAUACUGCCAGUCUUGAGGUCGGGAGAGGUGAGUGGAACUCCGAGUGUAGAGGUGAAAUUCGUAGAUAUUCGGAAGAACACCAGUGGCGAAGGCGGCUCACUGGCCCGAUUCUGACGCUGAGGCGCGAAAGCGUGGGGAGCAAACAGG
rnacentral:rRNA from 1 species